rnacentral:lncRNA from 1 species
UCACUAUGACUCAGGUCCACCAGGCCAGAGCAUGAAAUCUGGAAUGUGUGUAUGGCACGUCAGCUUCCCCAAAUAACACAGCACACUUCAUCAUCUGAGUGCAAACUAGCUCCAGAAACUCUACCCUGCAAAAGUCACAGGGUGGUGACUACAGACCUGCUAGUCCUCUAGAAGAGUUAUAGAGGCAAGGUGAAUUAAUGCAAGAUGUUGGAGAUUCUCUGGUAGACCAGAUCGUCUACUCUAGGACCUGUUGGGGAGCUGGAAAGAAGAAAUCAAAAGAAGGAAUUCUGGCCAUGUUUUGGCCCCUGCUUUAGGUACAGGACACAUGGAGAAGCCAAUGGUUCAAGUGACAGAAAUAUACAAUCAAGAGGCCCCCACUUUCUCCUCUCUGUCUGCUUCCUGACCUUGCCCUCAGGCAGGAUUCUCAGACAGUCUGGAUCCAUUUAAGCCACUUUCCCCUAACUCCUCCCACUUCAGCCCCUGGAAACUGCUCACCUGCUUUGUGUGAUGCUGUGACAAAUGAAAGCAGUUUUAUUUAUGACCAGCUUGGGAGACACUGUAUCCAAUUCAAAGAUCCUGAUGGCAAUAACUGUUCAUGACAUUGAACCAGCCAUGGAAGCCUUCUGUGAGUCUGUUUCCCCAGGCUGCAAAUGAGACUGAUGACACCUGCUUCACGUUUAAUAGUGUUUGAUAUGUAUUAGGUAGUCAAUAAAUAAUAGUAAAC